GGGGGUGUAGCUCAGUGGUAGAGAAUUCGCUUUGCAAGUGAAAGGCCCGGAGUUCGAAUCCCUGCUCCUUCA